GAAGAAAAUGAAUGCAGGCGUUAGAAAAAUUAAUAAAUUAGAAACAAAAAGGUCAUCUGAUUAUCGAUUAAAGCAAAUGGCAGGGAUAAAUUGAAUUGAAGGGAUUUGAAGAGGUGAUGCUCCCUCAUGCCUUAGUUGACUCAAGUGACCCUAGUGUUUCUUUAUCGGUGUACUGCCGGUCAUUAGCUCUAAUACACUGUGAAGAACCGAUAUUUUAUGACGAGUCUUACAUGAGUUAUACAAAAUGUUCUAUUUGGGUGAUGAGAGAGUAUGGUGCAGCAGAAUCUUGGACAAAACAAUUUUCUGUAGAUUUACCAAAUCCUGGAGCUUUACUGAGGGUGCUAAGCUUUCAACGGCAUGGUGGAAUUCUUAUUGAGGAUAGCAAUAGUGAGAUAGCUUCUUAUGACCCCCGGACACAAAAGGUCACCCCUCUUUGCUUCCAUGGAUACAUCUUCGAAGUGCAUUCUUACAUGGAGAGCCUUGUUUUACUCAAGAACAGACUCAAUUAGAAGAGUAAGACUGGACCUUAGUAAUCUUAGGUUUAACUUUAUGUAUUUCUGUCUUUUGGUAUCUAUGCAUUUUUAAUCUGUUUAAGUAGGUUUAACUUAAUGUAUUUCUGUCUUUUGUUUUUACUGAUCAUGAAAUUAUAAAUAGCUAAAUUAACCUUCUUUUUGUUGAAGUUUAUGAUACCUAUGUAACUGAAAAUUUGAUAUUGUUGGUCAUGUUAAUAUGUAAUGGUUUGAUAUGUGUGUCUGGAUGAAAAUUAUGGUCUGUCUAUUUAUUUGAGGGUGUGUGUGUGAAAUGACUGCAAAGUGAUUAGUGUCUAGCUCUUAUGAUUUUAAAAAUGAUUUCUCCUAGUUGAUUGUUUUAGAUCAUAUCCAUGUAGGACUAUUGGCUUCAAAUUGAUUGUUUAUGGCUUUGGCUCUCAUUCUUGGUUGAACGAUGUUGUCUUUUGGCUUGUAUAUAGAACACAAUGAGCAAUUUAAAGAAAUAAUGGUUCCUAUGCAUUAGUCCUCUCUCAAAUUUUCCAUUUAUUUAAUGUGUGGCCAAUCACUUGAUACAUAUAUUAUAGAAAUUUGAUAAGCAAUUUUAUCUUGGUUAUAUGGUGGAUUUUUUCUUUUGAAAAUUGAACAUGUUCGGUGGAGAACAAUCUUGGAACAUUUUAAUUAGUCCUCAUGGGCGGUUCUUGGAGAAUCAAUUAAGGGAGGAUCAGCUUUGGUAAAUAUACGCACGCUCUGUUUCUCAUCAGUGAAAUACAAUCUUGUAACUUCUACGAGACAAGCGAAAAACACAUUACACAUUAGCACCAGCCUGCAUGGCCAGUUCUCUGCAUCCUUCUUUAUCCCUACAUGAUAAUUAGGAAAUCAAGAUUGCGUCGGAAACAGAAACUAAUGUCAAUCAUAACAGAAAAAGAUGGCUGUAACAAUGUGUUCCUGACAUGGAACGAUUUAUGGAAGCAGUGAGGAACUCUCUGUAUGCCCAAUUCAGGUCAGGGGUUCACUGCUUAUGUUCAUAUCUACUAUCCUCGCUUUUAUGGCUGUUGGUGGGUUCCUGUCUUUUGUUGAGGAAAUGAUAGUAUUUUCUUCCUCAAAAUUUGUUUCUAUCAAUAAUCAACAAAUUCAUUUCAUAUGAAGGGGUUUCAGGAUGUUGGAGAUGAAGAGAAGCUAGGAUAGUUUCCUGAAUCGGUGUCUUGUUCAUACUAGAAGAUCAACUAGUAAUGCAUUCUCUUUGGCAUUUGAAUUUGAUUUGAAUGCUAACCUCAACAUAUUUUGAGCAAGCAUGCGUUCUUGAGUGAUAAUGUCAAAGCGGAUUGCAACUGAUGAAAUAGACGCGAUCUGAAUAAGCAGGCUGUUAUCAGCUGAAAGGUGGCGGGGUUGGUCACAGUGGAGGAGUUGAUUUUAGAUUUGAGUUCAGAUAUGUUUUUAGUGAAGAGAAAGUUUAGAGUUUUAUGUGAACAUUAAAAUUUUAUUUAUUUAGCCACAUCAAAUAAUAAAAAUUUAAUUUCUAAUGCUAUGUCAGUUUCG